rnacentral:rRNA from 1 species
GACGAACGCUGGCGGCGUGCUUAACACAUGCAAGUCGAACGGAAAGGCCCUGCUUUUGUGGGGUGCUCGAGUGGCGAACGGGUGAGUAACACGUGAGUAACCUGCCCUUGACUUUGGGAUAACUUCAGGAAACUGGGGCUAAUACCGGAUAGGAGCUCCUGCUGCAUGGUGGGGGUUGGAAAGUUUCGGCGGUUGGGGAUGAACUCGCGGCUUAUCAGCUUGUUGGUGGGGUAGUGGCUUACCAAGGCUUUGACGGGUAGCCGGCCUGAGAGGAUGACCGGCCACAUUGGGACUGAGAUACGGCCCAGACUCCUACGGGAGGCAGCAGUGGGGAAUAUUGCACAAUGGGCGGAAGCCUGAUGCAGCAACGCCGCGUGCGGGAUGACGGCCUUCGGGUUGUAAACCGCUUUCGCCUGUGACGAAGCGUGAGUGACGGUAAUGGGUAAAGAAGCACCGGCUAACUACGUGCCAGCAGCCGCGGUGAUACGUAGGGUGCGAGCGUUGUCCGGAUUUAUUGGGCGUAAAGGGCUCGUAGGUGGUUGAUCGCGUCGGAAGUGUAAUCUUGGGGCUUAACCCUGAGCGUGCUUUCGAUACGGGUUGACUUGAGGAAGGUAGGGGAGAAUGGAAUUCCUGGUGGAGCGGUGGAAUGCGCAGAUAUCAGGAGGAACACCAGUGGCGAAGGCGGUUCUCUGGGCCUUUCCUGACGCUGAGGAGCGAAAGCGUGGGGAGCGAACAGGCUUAGAUACCCUGGUAGUCCACGCUGUAAACGGUGGGUACUAGGUGUGGGGUCCAUUCCACGGGUUCCGUGCCGUAGCUAACGCUUUAAGUACCCCGCCUGGGGAGUACGGCCGCAAGGCUAAAACUCAAAGGAAUUGACGGGGCCCCGCACAAGCGGCGGAGCAUGCGGAUUAAUUCGAUGCAACGCGUAGAACCUUACCUGGGUUUGACAUGGAUCGGGAGUGCUCAGAGAUGGGUGUGCCUCUUUUGGGGUCGGUUCACAGGUGGUGCAUGGCUGUCGUCAGCUCGUGUCGUGAGAUGUUGGGUUAAGUCCCGCAACGAGCGCAACCCUUGUUCACUGUUGCCAGCACGUUAUGGUGGGGACUCAGUGGAGACCGCCGGGGUCAACUCGGAGGAAGGUGGGGAUGACGUCAAGUCAUCAUGCCCCUUAUGUCCAGGGCUUCACGCAUGCUACAAUGGCUGGUACAGAGAGUGGCGAGCCUGUGAGGGUGAGCGAAUCUCGGAAAGCCGGUCUCAGUUCGGAUUGGGGUCUGCAACUCGACCUCAUGAAGUCGGAGUCGCUAGUAAUCGCAGAUCAGCAACGCUGCGGUGAAUAAAUUCCCGGGGCU